CCCUUAGACGUUCUGGGCCGCACGCGCGCUACACUGACCAGUGCAACAAGCAUCCGUCCUUGGCCGACAGGCCCGGGCAAUCUUUGAACGCUGGUCGUGAUGGGGAUAGACUUUUGCAAUUUUUGGUCUUCAACGAGGAAUUCCUAGUAAACGCAAGUCAUCAACUUGCAUUGAUUACGUCCCUGCCCUUUGUACACACCGCCCGUCGCACCUACCGAUUGAAUGGUCCGGUGAAGCCUCCGGAUUGGCGCGCACCUCGGUGCCGCCGAGAAGUUGGCUAAACCUUACCAUUUAGAGGAAGGUGAAGUUGUAAUA
rnacentral:rRNA from 1 species